AAAACAACAAGAAGAAGAGUUAACAUCAUAUAGUAAACAUUAAGAAACUAUUAAAUAUACAUCAGAAUGUAUUUUACAUUUUUAUACUUGUAGGUUUAAAGAUACUACUUUCGACCAGGAUUUCGACAAAAUUUCCCACUAUGAGACGGGUCGACUAAAGGGCCGAUUAGCAAGAUAUUUUAGUAAGUCGCUUAGUGUGUGAAGGCGAAAAUAUGGUUGACUAGGUUUGUCGACGGUCGACUAGUCGACUCGACCAAUUCUAGACGACCGAUUUAAUCGACCCGCCUGUAACCGCUCUUAUGGGAAAGAUGAAGAUCGUUCGGAGCAAGGCCCGGAUUAUAGGGUGGAUGAUCUCACCCAAAACUACCCAACAGAGAGAAAGGGAUCAAGCUAUGAUAGCGAGAUUCAGAUGCGGUAAUGAGGAAAGAGUCAAUAAAUUCAGGGUAAAAUCAGAGGAUAAGAACUGUAGAUUACGUGGAUCAGGAGAAGAGAUAAUGGAAAAUUUUAUUGAAGAGUGCAGAUAAGUUGAAAGAGAACAAGAAUUAAGCAAAAGGGUGCUCAUGUGAGCACAAGAGGAAGGAAAGAGAUGGGCGAGGAAAAUAACAGAAAAAAGAAGGAAGUUCGCUAAAGUACCAGAAGUAUUCGGAGGUUUUUAAAUAUUUCAAGUACAUCAACUAUAAUAAUUAAAUAAGUAAAUUAUAAUAAUAUGUAUAUGAACCCUGACUGUAUAGACAUAGCCACGUGUCAAUCCCUUUUCAAGACCGAACAGUAAAAAAAUAAAGUUACCUAUUCAACAUUUAUUCUCAAAAUUGUUCUCAUUUCAGUUAUCCUUGAACAUCUAAUGAACGCAUGGAACUGUAUUGAAAAUUAGGAGAGCAUAUCAAUUUUCAAGGAAACAAAGAAUUCCGAGAUUUUUCCUGUAUCUGAAUAGCAAUUGACGUAUCAUAAACCCACGGAGUCCCAAUUUCUACGAUUAGUUUUACACGGAGAUACAAUGGCUACAAAAAAUAUUUUCAUUCCAUUAUAUUUAUUGUAGCGUUUACAGUAGCUCGCGAAAGCAAUGGUACACUUGUCGACACAUUUUAUGAAUAUAUUACGUGUAUUAUAUGAAACAUUAAAAAAUUUUAUUAACGCUGCAACGACACUCAACUAUCACGAUUAUAGUGGUAACUAUACUGGAACAAUUUUGAAAAUGUAUGCAGAAGUUGCAAGAUAUUUAAUACAAGUACAUAUAAUAGUUUGCAGAGACCAUAAAAAUAUUUAAAUGAGCAAUUAUAAAAGAAUCAUAAAACACUAUUUUUAACAUUUAUUAUAUGGUUAAGAUGUCUGCUCAUACUGUACAUUAAUUUGUUUGUUAAAUAUAAGAUUGCACUAUCUUGCAGCUUGUAUUAUAUUGUCAGUUUGGGUUCCAAUUUUGCACAUAUGCUCAUGUCAGUUCAAAAUAUUUUAUAUGUUAUGCAUCAUAUAAAGGAAAAAUUUUCUGUGGCAAGUGCACCUAGGAAUAUUUUUGCGAAUCACUGCAC
rnacentral:misc_RNA from 1 species